GGCCCGUAGUGCAUUCAUGGACAGUUUUUAGUAUGAUUAUGGCUAUGGAUUCUCUUUGGCCGUAGUGCAAAGAUGAAUUGUUUUAUGGCAUGAUCAGGACCGUUGAUGAAAACAUGAUUAUCUUUAGCCGUAGUGCAUGGAUAAUUCGUGGUCGUGAUACUAAAGAAUAUCCUUGGCCGUAGUACAGGGGUGAUUCGAUGAUGUGGAUUAUUUAUUAAGCUGAGUCCCAGCGAUAAAAGUGAUGAAAAACCUUUUAAAUCAGAGAAGAUAGUAGAUUUUAGUCUCUACUCUUCUAAUGGAUUGCUUGUUCCGCUGCAGUUGAACUUGACAUUUAUUAUAUUUUAUCAGUUUAACAUUGUUGAAGGCUAACGAUAAAUUAUUCUGCAUUAUCUUAGUCAUAAUAUUUUUUACUGGGCUAGUUGAGCUCACCCUUUCUUUCACUAUUCUCUUUAGGAAAUGAAAACGUAGCUGGGACUAGUCGGGGAACAGAGUGAUGGUCCUAGAUGGUGCAUUAGUAGUCAUCACUAUUCUGUGAAAUAGUGUGAUAAUAAUUGUAAUGAGGACUCCUUUUGAGUUUUUAUACUCUCUAGUAGACAAUAUUUGUAUUCAAACUCACAGGUUAUGUUUUGUCGUAUUGUACACGACAGUUGUUUUAUUAAGUUGUAUUUGUAUUCUAUAACUUGUAUCUGGCGACUCAAGAUGGGUGAUGUAUACCGAUUUUGGGGGCGUCACAGUUCUUAUCUCACAUCUCAUCCAGGGAUCAUAUCCCUAAGCUUUGAUACCAACGGUGAUGCCCCCAAAAUAGGUAUACAUCACCGAUCUUGGGUAGCCAAAUACAUGGUACAAAAUACAAAUACAAACUUAAUUAUACAACAAGAUCUGAGAGUUUUUACAUGAGUAUUGUCUCAUAGGCAGUAUCCAAACUCAAAUUCAAUCCUCAUUACAUUUAUUAUCACACUAAAUAGUGAGGAUUACUAAAACAGCCAUCUCGGACCAUCACUCCGUUCCCCGACUAGUCCCAGCUAUGUUCUCAUUUCCUGAAGAGAAUAAUGAAAGUAAAAGGGUGAGCUCAACUAGCCCAGUAAGAAAUAUUAUGACUAAGAUAAUGCAUAAUAAGUUAUCACUAGCCUUCAACAAUGUUAAACUGAUAGAAUAUAAUAGACAACAAGUUUAACUGCAGCGGAACAAGUAAUCCAUUAGAAGAGUCAAGUAGAGCAUGAUAUCUACUAUCUUCUAUGAAUUAAAAAGGCUUUCAUCAACUUUAUCGCUGAGACUCAACUUAAUAAAUAAACCACAUCAUCGAAUCAUCCCUGCACUACGAGACAAGGAUAUUCAUGUAAUCAUCAAUGGUCAUGAUUAUAUCGAAUAAUCCGUAGUCAUAAUCAUACCAACAACUGUCCAUUAAUGCACUACAGGCCAAUGAUAAUUUUUUUUCCACAUCAUUUGUAACAUUACGGGUCAUGAUUAUACCGAAUGAUCCCUGGUCAUAAUCAUACCAAUCAACAGUCCAUCUAUGAACAUAAGCCAAAGAUGACUUUCAUCAUAAUAUAAGUAUGAGGAUGAUGACAAUGAUAUAAGAAUUCAAUUAAAUGAAAGCAAAGGGUAAAUUUGAAAGAGUUAUAAUUUAAUUUAUCCAGAAUUUAAUAAUGUCCAAAUUGUCAACAUGAUACUGCUUUGUGGAGUAAAAUUCAAGAAUAAUAUCCAUGUAUCAAAAAUAAUUUAGACAGAAAAAAAAUACAUUUUCGGUGAAUAGUACCCCAUGAAUAGUACUUCAGGAAUAGUACCCCGUGAAUAGUACCCCGACAUGAAAAGUUCCCCGAAUACCCGAGUGAAUAAUAUUUGAGUGAAUAGUAAUUGGGUGAAUAAUAACCUGUGAAUAGUAACUCGUGAAUAGUAUCCCAACAUGAAAAGUGCCCCGAAUACCCGAGUGAAUAAUAUUUUAGUGAAUAGUACCCGGGUGAAUAGUACCCCGGUGAAAAUAUUGAUAUUUAAUAAGAAAGUUCAGAUCAAUAUUCCAACAAAACGAUACUGGAUGAAGCGUAAAACUCAAGGAUAUUCUACUAAUUUCAAGGAUUAUAGAAGCAAUACUUACCAUAGUAAGUUUAGAUUUAAGAAUAUGAAAAGAAAUAACAUACAAAACUGCAUAUGGAUUUUCACCCAUCAUACGGUACGUAAUCCGCGUAGACAUGUUAUUUCGACAUAUUAAAGGAUGGAUACGAAAAAAUAGUAUUCCUUAUGAAUACGAAAGAAAUAAUACCCCAUACCUUAGUUGAAGACUAGACACUGCAAUAGUGAAGUAGCAUAAUACUCUUCUUCUUGCUCUCUAUAGUUUCUUUUGUGAGUCUCAAUGAAUUGGUGAGAAUGAAAGAAGAAUUAAACUUCUAUUUAUAGGAGAAAUGACUAAAUAGUAACUAAUUCACGAAUGGUCCAGAUUAAUUUACUAUUAGAAUAGGUGGUCCAGAUUGAUUACUAUUAAAACCACAACCGACGGUCCAGAUUGAUUUACUUUUAAAACCACCACUGACGGUCCAAAUUGAUUUACUAUUAAAACCACCACCAAUGGUCCAGAUUGAUUUACUAUUAAAACCACCAUCGACGGUCCAGAUUGAUUUAUUAUUAAAACCACCACUAAUGAUCCAGAUUGAUUUAACUUAUUACACUUUAGUACCCCUAAAUUUUUCCAAGUUUGCAUUAUUCCCCUCUAACUUUUAUCAUCAAUAAACACAUUCUUAAGACUUCAACAAUUAUUCAUCAUUAAUAUUAUAACUCACAAUAUUUAACGAUCAGAUCAUUCCCAGGAAAGAGGGGGCUUUCCGAUAAGGAUUUCUCCCUAUUGACGCGCAAUUAGGUGACCAAACCUCUCCUCGACAGAACAUUCUAGACAUCGUCAAUAUUACAAAUAAUAAUAUGCAUAACUUUUUUGUCUCAAUUAUUGAUUAAUAAAAUAAAAUAUUAUGCAGAUGAUACUGUGACAAUAAUUGAAUCAAAUAAUGUGAGAUACUAUGCACAAUUACUGUAGCAACAAUUGAGUAAACUGAGUGGCUUCUUACGUAAGCAUCAAUAAUUAAUACCGUGUGCUACUAUGCAACCACGCGUAUUACUGUACUUUUACCACCGGGUAGUUCAAUAGUUAACGUUAAAACUUACGCCGUUAUUUUUAUAAAAAGAUAUUUCUGUCGUUUUCUAACUCCGACAAUAAUUUCGUUGUGGGGUCCACCAAUAAUUGUGUCGUUGUACGAAUAUUUUUUGUCUAAAACGAAUAUUCCCCGAUCAAUCGAAUAUUUUAUAACAACUUGCAUACUUUGCAAAAUUUAUAAAUAUUACCCACAACUAUAACAGUUUAUCAAAACCAUACCAUAAUAUUCAAAAAUAUAUUUCGAGAAAAAUUAAUCUUUAUUUAUGAAAGUUGGGGUCUUACAUAGUACUGGAGUAGUUUUAAUGAACAUUAUUAAUAUGUUGUAUUUGUAAACCCUUUCUCUAUAUCUAAAGGGUAUGUUUGUAAUAUGAAGGGUAGAUAACCUGGGAUGUAUUAACUAUAUCAGUUAAUGUGGUGUAAAUUUCUAUUCAUAAUUAAAUGGGUAGUUAGAUUUUAUUUAUAUUGUGGAUCGUGAGCACCAAACUCGGGAGUCAGGUAACCCAGAUUUUGGGGCAUCACAGGUUGGUAUCAAAGUUGUAGUUUAUAAACCUUAAGUGAGGGAUUGCCGAAGUGCGUCAAUAGUGAGAUAUGUGGACACAUAGUGUGAGAAGUUUGUACUAAUGAAGUACUAAUCAAGUUGUUUAAAUUGAUUGUAGGAUGUCAGGUGAAGAUAAAAUGAGUGUGGAGAUGUUAGCGGUUGUUGCACCAGUUCUAAUAGCCGAGGUGCCGGCGCAAAGUGAAUCAAUUAAGAAGGUGGGAAAAGAUGAACCUACGAUUAAUCUGGGGAGUGAUCAUGAUGAUUAUUUCGAGAUGUAUCUGAGUGGUGAUGACGAGGCAGAGUCCGAAGAAGCUAAGGUGGAGAAAGGGAAUAAGACCAAAGUUGGAGAGAAAGAUCAAGAAUCUAUAGAAGUUUAAGAACUCCGGAGUAAAGUAUUUCUCUUAGAGGAGUUGUGGAAGACAGAGCGAGCAUUACGUGAAAUGAUUGAUGAACGGAACGAGUUUGAAGGCGCAGGUCGAAAGAAUGAAGACUGAAGGUGGUGGAUCGUCUGAAGGAACAAUCAAGCAGAAGAAAGACAAGAAUAAGAGAAAGCGGGACAACGACAACGAUAAUUCUAAAAAUUCAAACCCGAAGAAGAAGGAAGUCUGUAGAAAGUGUGGAAAGACUCGCGUGGGAGAAUGCAUGAUGUAUAAGAACGUGUGUUUCAAUUGUAAUCAGGAAGGACAUAUUUCCCUACAUUGUCCUAAGUCGAAUAUGAGGAAGUAUUUUUCAUGUGGGAGAACGGGUCAGGGAUUUAACAAGUGUCCCAGCAGGAAGAAGACUGGUGAAGGGAGUGGACGGUAGACAACUUAGAUAUAAGCGCUAGUAUCUUUUGGUAGUAGGUUAUGAUAUUAAAGGUUGUAAUAUCGAGAAAGAAGUGUGAACAUAUGCAAAUAUAAAUAUUUUUGUAUGAAUGAAAUCUUUAUUUUCUAUAUGAAUAUAAGAUUAAGAUUAAUUUGUGUGUUCUUAAAACUCAUACUUAUGGUAAAUUAAUGACUCAUAAUUAUAUGAAAUGUUUUGAACCCCUCAGCGAAUGGACGCCAAUGGUCUGACUAGGAUAAGUUCAUACACUCAUAUAAUUGUGGCAAGUUCCUGAACUCAUAAGUGUGGUAAGUUUGAUGAACUGGGAAUAACUAUGUGUGAAUAGAGAAUUACAACUUUUUGGGUAAAGUUGUGUGUGUUAAUCCUAAAAUUUAUUUAAUAAGGGAUAGUAAUAUGUGUUAAGUACUAAAUAUACUAUGUGCUAUUUGAAUAAAUAUACGAUUAUAUGAGAAAUAUGUGUUGAAUUCUUAUUGUGUUAAGAAUUUGUGUAGAAAAAGUGAAUUAAUGUAAGAUUUUUAUUUAAAUCAGAUCAUGCCGCCUAGACGACAGAAUCAAAAUCAAAGAGAAGGGCAGUUAGUGAAUAAUGAAGGAGGUCAAGCGGACCCGAUGUAGAAUUUUGUGGAUAUGUUAGCCCAAGCUAUGGGAAAUAGAGCUCCAGUAGCAAGAGGAAGAGCGAGAGAAAAGUCAGAUGAUAGAUUGGCAAAUUUCAAAGACUUUAAAGCGGUAGGACCGCCAGAAUUCAAGGGAACCACAUAUCCGAUUGAAGUCCAAACCUGGGUAAAGGAGAUGAAGAAAGCAUUCAUUAUUACGAGGGUGGCGGAAGAGAAAAAGACAGCUUUUGCAACAUAUUUGAUGAAGGGAGAAGCCAAUUACUGGUGGGAGACUAAUCAGGCAAGAGCUGGUACAACUGUGGUGACUUGGACAAGAUUCAAGGAGUUGUUCUUUGAGAACUACUUUUCGCCGAGUAUGGAAUCCAGGAUGGAAGUCAAAUUUCUAGAAUUGAAGCAGGAGAACAUGUCGAUUUCUGAGUAUGCUGCCAAAUUCGACGAGUUAGUGAGAUUUGCACCUCAUCAGGCGGACACAAAGGCGAGAAAAGCGAGAAGAUUUGAGAAUAGACUGAAGCCAGGGAUAUUCAACAAGGUAGAAGUAUUGCAAAUUAAUACAUUUGUGACUUUAAUGGAAAAAACGUUAAUUGCUGAAGGAGGGAGCGAAGCUGCAUCUCGAUUUCAUCAAGAGAAGAAGAAGAAAACAACUGAUGGAAGAAGCAAUGGUGGUAGUAAUCCGAACAAGAGAAAGUGGAGCGAGAAUACCGAGUCCAGUAAAAAGACAGAAGAGAAUAGGAAAGGGAGGGAACCAUGUGCGACUUGUGGGAAGAACCAUUCUGGAAUUUGUCUGAAAAAAAAGGAGUUUUCUAUAAUUGCGGUCCAGAGGGACACAUGUCACCCAAUUGUCCCAAUCCAAAGAAGAUACAAGGUUGUUUUGCGUGUGGAUCGACUGAUCAUCUGGUUCGGAGCUGUCUGAAGAGAAAUGUAGAGAAGGAAAGUGUCAACAAGGGACCCGAUAGCAGAACCUUGACGAUUCGAGGACCUGCACAACCAGGAAGACUAACAGCCCGUGCAUUCAACAUGACGGUGCAAGAUGCAGUGGUUGCCCAGGAGGUAGCGACAUGUAAUAAUUUCAUUUAGAAAUUUAAUUACGCGAGUAAUAUUGAGUUUAUAAUUACAGUGAAUUGUUUUCUUUUAUAGAUCCAAGUCACAGGUUAGAACAUGGGACACAAAUUAAUAUUGUGUUGAUAAGAAUGAAUUGAUGAUAAGGAGGGGAGAAUGUAAUAACCCGGGAUUUUGAAUAAUCUGAUUUUUUUGAAUAUUUUUUUAUUUAUUUAAUCUUAAUAUUGAUUAUAAAUUUUGUGAUGAGUAUUUGUGAUAUGAGUCUCGAGAAGUGGUCAAUUUAUGUGUUGACUGAGAAAAUUAGAGUAGAGUUGUGCUUAACAGAUUGAAAUCCUAACCCUAGUUACGGAUAGGGAUUCGAUAGAAAAUAUAAUUAAAAUAAUUGUAUUGAUGAGUACGCGUUUGUACUGUAUAGAAAAUUUGAUCAAUGAUUGAUCGGGUAUGGUACAAUAUUAGUAAACCCUAAUAAGGGAUUAGAAACCCUAACGUACCAUUAAGAACCCUAAUCGAAAGCCAAGAAACCCUAAUUUUAAAUUCAAGAAUCCUAAACCCUAAUUAGGAAAUCCUAAUCCUAAUUAGCAAGCCUUAUUUUAUUAGUAACCUUAAUAUGAUUAGGAAACCCUAAUCAUAUUAUAGUUAUCUUAAUUUUUUAUUUUAAAAACCCUAAUUAGAAAAUCCUAGAAACUAAAGUUGUAAAACCUAAGGGUUAGAACCUUAGGGUUAAACCCUAAGGGUUUGGACAAAUGUCUAAGAUGCCAUUAAAAUUACAUGUUCAAUGACCAAAAUUCCCUUUUUGGAUUUUGUAUUUCGUAACUUACAAAUCAUGCUAUAAUUGUAGUUGUUCACAAACUUUUGACCAGCCAUUUGACUCUUAUCUCAGCCAAAUCUGAUCUAGAGGGACACCUUGCAUUACUUACAUACAAUGUAUCUAACUUAGAGGAUUAAAGGGAGAGAAAGUCUUAACUUUUGGCUCAUUUGCAUUCAAACUCUCAACCAACUCUCUCUCUCUCUCUCCAAACCUCUGAAUUUCUUAAGUAUUGCAGUCACAAAAUAAACUCCUAGAUCAGUUAAGGAGAUCAAAGAUCAAAGAGUGGAACUAGAAGGUAUAAAAUCAUAAACCUACUUUGAUUUUUUAUGCUUAGUCUAUGUGUGUGUGUUUAGAUGUUUGCUAGAAGAUGUUUUAUGAUGAUCUAUGAUGAUACAUCAUGGAUAUAUAACAACAAGGGCCUUAAAAAGAUGUUUUUCAAAAAUUGUCGAAGAACAUUAUAAGUGGUCUGACAAGCUAAAGUCAGAGCCCAACGAUUCAUCUUUGUUUAAGAUUUUUGUUGUUUUAAAGUUUUAAUCUGAAGUUUGUCAUGAGGUCUUUGAUCUGGAAGUGAAAUCAAAGUCAUUCCAUGUCCAGAUUGUAAGUUAUAAACGGUCAAAACCCGUAGACCGAGCAUGACUUGGUGAUUUUUGGGUAACCCUGAAAUCCUUAAGCAGUGUCUGACAGGAUCUUCUAAGGCUCGGAUCUGUCAGGUUUUAAGAGAUUUAUUUUUGUUGUUAUAUACAUGUUGUAGCCUGACAUAUGUACUUUAUAUUUAUGGCUUUAGAUCAUGUAAAUAAUCAACAGAUCGAAUGCAGCAGGUGGUUAAAGUAGGUCAUUCGACCAUGAAUAAGAAUUUCUGGAAUUUCCAGAAACCAUAAGAACAGCCUUCUGAAAGGCUUUGACUGAAUCAUAGCUUGUGAUUCUGUUAUAGAUGGAUUGAUCUGUUGUUAUAAUAAUGUUCCUUGACACGAGGACUAUAUAUUUGAACCUUAAUAACUCUAAUACGAUGACCAGAACCUUGAGCAAAUCGAGCUAGAAAGUGUCUAGUCGACAUUGUCUAGGUUUCAAGGUUACCCAGAAAACCCAGAUUUGGUCUGACAGGACGUUUGAGAGCCCAGAUCUCUUUGUUGUGAUGUUGUUUGACCGAGAUGAGGAUUGAUAGAUGUAGUAUUACAUACCUACUACAAGAUCAAUGCUUGAGAUAGCCCAGAACAUGUUUAUUCUGAGAUUUGCAAGUGGUCAAACAUGAACCCUUUAUCAUUGGUUGUCAGUGUUCUUGAGCCCCAAGAACACCUACAGCGACAGAAAGCGUCGCUAUAGGCUAUAGCGAAGGUUUAUUUAAUUUUAUUUUCUGAUUUUCUGAAAAUUGAUCAAAAAUAGAAAAUAAAUUCUAAAAAUUACAAAAAAGGUUUUAAAAAUUAUUUUAAAUUCUGAAAAUUUACUUUUGAUAAUUUCAAACAUUUUUAAUUAAUAUUUAUAAUUAUUUGAAUUUUAAUGGUAUUUAAUUUAUUUAAUUAGUAUAUUAAAUAAAUUAGAGAAAAAUGAAUUUAAUAUUAUAAAAAUCAUUUUAAAUAAGAAUAAAGUGUUUAAAAAUAUUUUGAGUUAUAAAAUGUAACUUUUAAUAUUUUUGGAGAAUUUUCAUUAAUAAAUUAAUAUUAAUUAUAUUAGAUUUAUUUAACUAUUAUAUUAAAUAAAUGAUGGGAAAUUAUUUUAUUGAUUUAAAAAUCAUUUAAAAUGAGAAAAGUAAUAUAAAAAUAUUUUAAGUUAUAAAUAAUAACUUUUAAUAUUUUAAUAAUAAUUUCAUUAAUAUUGAAAUAUUAAUGGUAAUGGUUUAAAAAUGAUUUGAAUUACUUUAAAAAUCAUUUAAUAGAAUAUUGAUGAUUUAAAAAUAUUUGAAGUUAUUAUAAAUAACUUUAAUAUUUUGACAAGUAUGUCAUUAAUAUUUUAAUAUUAUUAAAUAUUAAUGAUGAUGGAAUUAAUUAGUAUUUAAAUCAUAUAAAAAUGAUUUCAGUGUUUGAAAAAUUAUUAUAAAUUAUAAUAAUUGUUAGAAAAUUAUUAAAAGCUUUCGAAAAAUAUUAUGAACUAUAUUUGACUUAUCUAAAAUAAUAUUGAAGCUUUGACUUUAAUUGACAAUAAAUGUGUUAAUUGUCGGAUAGGGUGACCAAGACACAAAGAUAAGAUCGAAGUCCAACCAGACCGAACUAGUUAGACUUGAUAAGUGUUUAUAUAGGUUAUAAACAAUGAUGUGACUAUGUGGUAAUGUGUCUAGGAGAAAUAUGGACUGUAAAUUAUAGUAUCAUGUGUUAUGAAUUAUUGUGCUAAUUGUGAGACCGAUAUAGUGAUUAUAGGUCUUUCAAACGCAGAUAAGUAUUUUGUGUAGCAGUAAUCAACGCGGAAGGCAAGUUUCCUUAACUCAGCCUUGAGUUACUACUUUUUAAAUAUUAUGGUGGUUAAUUAUUGUUGAUUAGACCACGUUUGAGAAUUAUUAUUGAUAAUUCACAGUUAGUGCAUGUUUAUUAAUUCAAAUUGAAUUAGUGAUUCUGAGAAUAUACUUGGAGAAUAUCUGUUGUUGAAUACUUACAUCCGUAGAAGCUAUUAUUGAUAGUACAGAUAAUUCAUGUCUAUUAUCAAAUUGUGUAGAGAAAUGUCUUAGCUAAUUAUUCUGGCUAGACGAACAUUUGUUAGAACUUGACAGGUUCGAGAAGAAGACUCAAUUAUUAUUGAUAGAUCGAUGCCAAUUAUUUCGGCUAGAUCUAGAAAGUGAUUAGAUAUUGAAAUCAUUGUAUUUCGUUGUUAUAAAUCAAACUUUGAUUAUAAUACUAGAAGAACAACCUUUUAUACAAAGGGAACAUUUUUGGUCGUAUACUCGACCUUUGCGCGCGUGUAAGUAUUAUGUAUAAUAUAGGGUACAAGGAGUUGGCCACUCUAAGUACUUACAGAGGGGUAUAAUUUAAUCUAUAUGGUUAUCUUAUACACCUUGGUAUAUCAAAGUCCAAUCUUUGAUAGUUACUCGAGAAGAGAAGUUCAAGAUCCAAUGGAUCACUCAGCAUAAAUCUGGAAAAUCAUCCACUUUGUUAUUGCGUAGAAUUGAUUCUUGAUUAUUCAUUAGAAUAUCGUAGAAACUUUGAAAGUGUUGUACACUUUCUGUGAGACCCCAAAUUUUAUGAAUAAAGAUUUAAUUUUCUCCAAAUAUUUUUUUAUAUUGUGGUGUGGAUUUAAGAUAAUGUUAUAGUUGUGGGUAAUAUUUAUAAAUUUUGCAAAGUAUGCAAGUUGUUAUAUUAUAUUUGAUUGGUCAAGGAAUAUUCGUUUUAACGGGAAUAUUCGUACGACGACACAAUCAUUGGUGGACCCCACAACGAAAGUAUUGUCGGAAUGAGAAAACGACAGAAAUUUUUUUUUAUAAAAAUAACGGCAAAAGUUUUACCGUUAAACUGUUGAACUACCCAGUAGUAAAAGUACAGUAAUACGCGUGGUUGCAUAGUACCACACGGUAUUGAUUAAUGAUGCUUACGUGAGAAGUCACUCAGUUUUGUUCAAUUAUUGCUACAGUAAUUGUUACAUAGUAUCUCACGUUAUUUGAUUCAGUUAUUGUAAAUAUUUUAUAUAUUAUUAAAUCAAUAAUUGAGAUGACAAGUUAUUCAUAUUAUUAUUUGCAAUAUUGACGAUGUCUAGAAGUUCUGUCAAUGAGAUGUUUGGUCACUGUUGCUCGAUUUUGCAACCGUAAAACACGCGCAAGUAUACGCGGUCUUAACAAGUAAUAUAAGAAAGUAGAGUGUCGAACCCACGAGGACAAAGAUUUAUCGGAAACAAAUACUAAGGUAAAGUCGUUACUAAACUUAUCUAAACGAUUGAAAGUAAAGGUUGGUUAAGCUAUUUUAAUAAGAAAACUAACUAAGAGACGUUGGUUGUGCUAGGAAGGUAAGAUAGGAUUACAACUCCCCUAAUGCCUCGCCUAAUCUUCUAACUCUCCGCAAUACAAACGAAUCAAGGAAUGGUCGACCUAGAGCAAUAAUAGGCAUAAACUUCUGUCGAAGGUCAAAUGCACAUCCCUAACAAGCUAGAACACCAUAUGUCUAUGGGUGGAACUAACUAGGUAGAGCUCAUUAAGCACAUUCAUAAGGUCGCACAAGGAAAAUAAGGAUAUGUCUAUCCUAUUGGCACAUUAAGCCCCACAAUCAAAUGUCAAGGUCAUAACAGGUGAUGCUGCAUUUAAAGACAAACAGUAAUAUCCAUUUAUCAAUUUCCAUUACUAUCAGUACCAAUUUCUUUAUCAAGAAAUCAGACAAUAAAAGCAAAAUACAACAACCCAUUCCAAAAUGCUUCAUUAUAUAAAACGAGAGAGAAAGUCGAUUAAGCUAUUCAAAGGUUACAUUGUAAUCCUAAAAAUGGAGUUAGUUCAUAACUAUGGGACUAACACAAAUUUCUACUGCACUAUCCAUUAUCAGACAAAUACAAUAAAUAGAAUAUUUGAAAUAAGAAAAACCCCUGUAGAAAGAAGUUAUCUUCUGCCAAAUAUUCUCUUCACGCGCACAGUCGGAAAAUGUGGAGAGCAAUUGAACUUUCCUCCUUCAAGCUUAUUCCUUCUCUCUCUCUAUCUAACUUCUGAUAUGUAUGUUAUAUCUUUUUUUUUUUGCAGCUGCCGCCUCUCUUGCUUAUAUCAUGUUUUUCCCUUUUUGCUAGGUCAAACAAAGUCCUUGUCUGCCUGGGAACUGGAGGUGGCACCGCAGCGCGGGCCACCAAGUAUUGAGUGGCACUACGGCGCCACAUUAAGAACUGGGACACGGAGCUCGCGCUGCAGCGUGAGCCAAAGGAGGAUGUGUGGCGCCACGGCACGACUUAUGUCAGCAUGGGCCAGGCAAUGGCGCUGUGGCGCGGCCAUUGAGCCUGGAGAUGGCGCCGCGGCGCGAGCAAGAGCAAAAUGACUGUUUUGCCCCUUUAAAGCUGUAAAAACAUUAUGAAGCUCUGCAAAGCAACGAUUAAACACAAUAACACUAUAUUUCUAUAAAAAUACAUAAAAACUACGAAUUCAAGCAAGUAUUUAAGUCAUAAAGUAUCCGAUUUGCGGGUUUAAAUCCCACUCAUCAAAUACCCCCAAACUUAAGUCUUUGCUUGUCCUCGAGAAAACUAUCUAACACAAUAAUAACAGUAGACACUAAGAAUGGAAAAGGAAUAUAUAUAUAUAUAUAACAAUCUAUACUUACAUCGUGGCUAUGAAUCUCUAAUUAAGCUACUCCCAAAGAAUAAGUCAAACACGGGAAUGAGUAAGGGUUCAUUAUAUUUCAAGCAUAAGACUGUAUUCGAUCCAUUCUAAGUGCAUGUGUGAAUACCAACCGCCCUGACUAAUCAUAGCUCAACUAAGUUUGCAUAGUCGAAUGUUAAAACCAAGCAAACUCCGCAACUUAAACAUUCAACAAGCAUUAAGAACGAGGCGCAAAUGUAGGAGAAGAUCAAAAGGCUCUAGCAUGCCGACAGUAAAAUCAGACUCGGACAGUACUUAAUUACCUUAGGCUACAGAACUACCCAUGAAUGAGCUUUUGAUCAGUGACUCCCAAGCCAGACGACUUUAGGGCACUAGGUGUAGAACACCCCUAAGAACCUAAUAACUCGAGCAGUAAAGGCCACGUAAUCAACAUAAGCCAACUGAGACUUCACAACAAGAACGAAGAUUAAUCAGCGAGUGCAUUUUAUGCUCCAUCUCAAUAUCGGCCCUGCAUUUAUGGGCGAGUGCAUUUUACGCUCCAUCUCGACCCACCGCAAAACUUUCGAUAUAAACACUUCUAUUCUAAUCUUAUUCCCAUUUUUAUUUUAUUUUUUCAAAACAAGCUAGAAUCCCAGAUCCAACACUGCAAAAAUACCUAAAUCUUUUAUUACCUUGCACAAAUGAAAGUUUAUAAGAGUGAACAAAUUUUCAACACAAUAAACACACAGACUAUACUCGAAAAAUAAUUAGUUAACACAGUUGGUCGGUGCUUGCUAGAAGGACGGAUCAAUAACAGUCUAAACUUAUCAACUAAUAAACCCCUACUACAUGUCAUACUUGACACAACUCUACGAGAGACAUACUCAUUUGGCGCUAGACAUAGCCACAAUAUAAAAUCAGCAAUGAUAAAUAUAACACCCUUGCUAAAUAGCAACUCAAAAUAGGGUGAAAAGGCCAUUUACAUGGCACAAGAAUAUAAAUGUGAAUAAGCCCCAAAAAGAUGGCUAGAAACCACAAUCAUGCUAAUAAAAUUGAAAUAAAACCAAACGCAGUUUAUGGCAUCCAUAAAGAUAAAAAUAUUCAAUAUAAUCCCGCAGUUCAAAAGACUGCACCACAAUACUGAUAAAUACAAACAUAAUAAAGAUAGUAAGUCUGGAAAUCCUAAAAUGGCAGUAAUGAGAUAGACAGAUAAAGGCAAAAAUACCCCCAAACUUGAAGUGAGCAAUGCCCUCAUUGCUAAACAUAAAGCAAUUGAAUACAAGAGGGCUUCCCUAAAGAUCGCUUACUCAGCAGCGGCAUCGGCUUCGGCUUCUUCCUCGUCUGGCGCGUCCUAAUCAGCUUCGACAGGCGGUGAUGGUGGAGGGUAUGGUGGAAAAAUAGGAGGGUCGGGAAACUGGUAUGGUGUGAACUCAAUGCCCUCGCAACAAAAGUCAGUGUAGAUGCUCUGCAUUGUGUUCACCAGCUCAGCCUGGUACUGCAUCGCUAUCUCUUGCCUCUGAGCCACCGCUGCGAUAAGCCUCCGCUGCCUCUGUGCCUCAGCGUCCUGCUUCUACUGCAGCAGGGUGAGGGAUGCCAUGAUGUCUUCUAAAAGACCCUGACUAGCUGGGCCUGCCUCAGGUGCUUGAGAGGGCUCUAGCUCUGGGUCGGCUGAAGGAGACGGCUCUGUAGGUGGUCCGUAUCCUUCGCCCCUGACAUGAGAUUCUGCCCCAUCCCAAACAGUGAAGUGCUUGAUCGUUUGAUGGUCGAUGACAGUCAUGGGUGGCGAAGCUAUCUCAUCAGGACCCCACUGUACCCCGACAUGCUUGCACAAAAGCGUGAUCACGGAUGGAUGGGGAUGUCCCGCAACGACUGUACUCUUUAUAGCCUUGAUGAUCGAGUCAUGGAUAAGAACUCUGAUAUCCACAUUCAAACCUAUGACAAUGGUGAAAAGCAGAAUCGCCCUUUCUUUAGUCACAUCGCUUAGGUGACGAGUCGGGAGCAUGGUGGCACAAAUGAAACUGUACCACGCCUUUCCAUAGCGACUAAGCGCAGCAUCCGGGAAGCUAGUCUUUUCACAGGUAUAAACAUUUUUCUUCCAGGUCACCCCGGGUUUGCAGAGCCUUCGGAUGACAUCCUCCUGGUCAUAGCCACAGAAUCCUAGCUGCAUAUAAUCAUUUCCCGCGUAGUUUGGUGCCCCGAAUAGCGCAUUGAUGGAUAUACUGUCAAAUGCUAUGGACCUUCCCCUGACUUAAACCACAGCAGGACCCUCAGGACUGGCAUUGGCAUAGAAUUCCCGAACCACCGGGACAACAGUUUAUACUGGCGGUUUGGUGAAGUUACUCCACUUUCGCUUGAUGAUCAUAUUCAUGAGUUCCCCAUCUUUUCGAUCCGGCCGCAACCCCCGCUCAGGAAUCAAAUUGCACUUGCCGAAAGAGUCUCUGUACCGCUUGAAAGUUUCCUCACUGACAAACUUGGCGGGGUCCCAAACCUGUGGUGGAGCCGCGGAAGAUGAAGAAGAACCACCGAUGCUAAGUCGUUGCCUUUUGGGUGCCAUGAUAUAAUUUGUUGAUGAGGUUCCCACAAACAGCCCUUAACAGUGCCAUAUAUCUGAAGAGAUGACCCCUGAAGCAAUGCAAAACAAACCACCAAUACAAACCCAACAAAAACAAGCCAAAACAGUUCGAUUACUCUUUGAGGUAAAUAAGCAAACACCUUGUGUGCGUUUUCCAAACUAUAAUUGGACAGCCCUUUGCUUGUUGUUACUCUAACCAGAUUUCCAGCAGUGGAAAUCACCCCAAAUCACACAAGAAGAAGAACACAGAAAAGCAAUUAAACCAACAAAAUCUCUGAUAGAAUGAAAACCCUCAAAAAUACCUUAUGAAUUAAACCCUUGCAUUUGAGUGGGGAUGCCUUUGACAAACAAUCGAUGCUAUGGUCUAAUUUUGUAGGUUGAGAAGAGACACGAUCGAUGGUUGCUCAGAUUUGUUGGGAGUGAUACGGCUGAUGGGUCGUAUUCUUUUAGGCUGCCGAGAGAGAGCUGAGAUUGUUGAGAGAAAUGGGAGAAAUGAGGAAUCUUAGCCGAAUAGCCUGCUUAUAACUGCAAUUGGAAUUCAAAAAUUCUCUAACGGCGCCGCAACGCGAGUGUUUGUUCAUUACUCGGCGAUGCGGUAUGAGUUAACAGUAGCUGGAGACAUCUUGUGGCGCCGCGGCGCAAAAGACAGUAUAGGAACCGGCGCCGCGGCGCGAGUGCUGAACUCUGAGUUUUUUCAUCUGUUAUCUGCACAUACCAAAACAAGUACAACAACUAUACUACACAAGCAAACAUACACUGUUAAAAACAUAGUAAACACUAUUAUAAUAUACAGAUUAUCAUACGAAACAUGUUGCCCGUAAAUGAGAGACACAAAACAUAAAAUCUAUCAGCUAUGUUAUAUAAUAAAAUGAACAGUCACUAAGUAAACUAGAAAUGAGUGAAGAAACAUAUAAAAUUUAUACCGAGAUGGGGGUGCCUCCCCACCAAGCGCUUGUUUUAUAGUCGUCGGCUUGACUAUCAUCCCGACUUAGAUCGGGUCUCCAAGUGUAAUAGAGGUAUUUUGACGGUCAACCUCGCUGCCCCAGUAGUGCUUUACACAUUGCCCAUUCACCUUGAAUGUUGAGUCAGAAUUUGGGUCCUUAAGCUCUAUUGCUCCAUGCGGAUAAACCUUGGCAACAGUGAAAGGGCCCGACCAUCAGGACUUAGUUUCCCAGGAAACAACUUUAGCCGAAAGUUAAACAAAAGAACUUGCUGGCCCGGUUCAAAAUGCCUCUCAAGGAUCUUCUUGUCAUGCCAUUUCUUGGUCCUUUCCUUGUACAACUUGGCAUUUUCAUACGCCUGCAGACGAAACUCAUCUGCUUCAUUCAGUUGUAACAGCCGCUAUUCGCCGGCUGCCUCAAGAUCAAAGUUAAGCUUUUGAAUCGCCCAGUAAGCGUUGUGCUCCAAUUCGACCGGGAGAUGACAUGUUUUACCAUAAACUAGCCUGUAUGGAGACAUUUCAAUGGGCAUUUUAUAAGCUGUGCGGUAGGCCCAUAAUGCAUCAUCCAGCUUCUUCGACCAAUCCUUACGGGUUGGGUUAACAAUCUUUUCCAAGAUUCUCUUCACCUCUCGGUUCGAAAUUUCAGCUUGGCUGCUGGUCUGAGGGUGGUAAGCAGUGGCUAUUUUAUGAGUUACCCCAUACCUGGCUAGAAGGGCUUCAAAAUACUUAUUGCAGAAGUGCGACCCUUCAUCACUAAUUAUGGCCCGAGGUGUGCCAAAACGGGUGAAAAUAUUCUUUUUGAGGAACUGAAGCACCACCUUAGCAUCAUUUGUCGGCAAGGCAACUGAUUCCACCCACUUUGAGACAAAGUCCACUGCCAUAAGGAUGUAGAGAUUGUUGAACGAGGACGGGAAUGGUCCCAUGAAAUCAAUGCCCCAAACAUCAAACAACCCUACUUCCAAAAUAUUCUGCAGCGGUAGCUCAUACCGCCUUGAAAUAGUGCCCACCCGUUGGCUUCUGUCACAGUGCAUCGCAUAGGCGUGAGCAUCUUUAAAAAGGGUGGGCCAAUAAAAUCCUGACUGUAACACUUUAGCAGCAGUUCGUUUGCCUCCAAAAUGACCUCCAUAAUUAGACGAAUGGCAAUGAUGCAACAUGCCUUCCAUUUCUUCUUCAGGCAAACAUCUACGCAAAAUCUGAUCCAAACACUGUUUGAAUAAGAAGGGCUCAUCCCAUAGAUAUUGCUUGGCAUCUUUAAGGAAUUUCUUCCUUUGUUGGAAACUCAGGCCUUGAGGGAUAACUUGGCAAGCGACGUAAUUUGCAAAGUCCGCAUACCACGGGACCUUGCCAUUCACCACAAAGAGCUGCUCGUCUGGAAAAAAAUCAUUUAUAGCCUUGUCAGCUUCGCUCAAAGAUGUGGUGUUUUCCAAUCUACUUAAAUGGUCGGCAACCUGAUUCUCAGUUCCCUUCUUGUCUCUGAUUUCUAAGUCAAAUUCCUGUAGAAGCAGAACCCACCGUAUCAAUCUUGGCUUAGCAUCCUUCUUUUCAAUCAAAUACUUGAUCGCCGAGUGAUCGGUGUAUACGAUCACCUUCGUCCCGAUGAGGUAGGAACGGAACUUAUCAAAAGCAUAUACCACCGCCAACAGCUCCUUCUCAGUAGUGGUGUAAUUUAACUGAGCAUCAGUCAAUGUCUUACUGGCAUAAUAAAUGGUAUGGAAAACCUUCUCCCUUCUCUGGCCCAAAACUGCCCCUAUAGCAUAGUCACUGGCGUCGCACAUCAGCUCAAAAGGGUAGGCUUAGUCUGGAGCUACCACGAUAGCUGCCGAGACAAGCCUUUUCUUUAAUAACUCAAAAGUGCUCAAGCAGGCGGCAUUGAACUGGAAAGGCAUGUCCUUUUCCAAAAGAGUGCACAACAGUUUGGUGAUCCGAGAGAAGUCCUGAAUAAACCUUCUGCAAAAACCGGCGUGCCCGAGGAAACUCCUCACCCCUUUUACUGAGGUGGGCGGUGGAAGGUUAUUGAUCACAUCUAUCUUAGCCUUGUCAACUUCAAUUCCUCCUACAGAAACCCGAUGACCAAAAAUAAUGCCCUCUUCGACCAUGAAGUGGCACUUCUCCCAAUUUAACACCAAGUUUGUUUCAACACAUCGAUGGAGAACUGCCGUCAGAUUAGUCAAGCAAUUUUCGAAUGAGCUCCCAAAGACUGAGAAGUCGUCCAUGAAGACCUCCAAGGUCUUCUCAACCAUGUCAAAGAAUAUUGACAUCAUACACCGCUGAAAUGUGGCGGGAGCAUUACAUAACCCGAAGGACAUUUUCUGGAAGGCAAAGGUUCCAUAAGGACAUGUAAAUAUCGUCUUCUUUUGAUCUUCCAGAGCAAUAGAAAUCUGAUUGUACCCCAAAUACCCAUCAAGCAAACAAUAGUAUUCAUGCCUAGCCAACCGGUCCAACAUCUGAUCAAUGAAAGGAAGAGGAAAGUGAUCCUUACAGGUUGAUUUGUUCAGCUUCCUGUAAUCCAUGCACACUCUCCACCCGGUCACCGUCCUGGUGGGAAUCAGUUCGUUAUUUUCGUUGGACACCACUGUCAUCCCCCCCUUCUUUGGCACACAUUGGAUUGGACUAACCCAAGGACUGUCCGAGAUGGGGUAAAUAAUGCCCGCAUCUAGCAACUUAAUGAUUUCUUUCCGGACAACCUCCUUCAUAAUAGGAUUUAGCUGCCUCUGAUGCUCUAUAGAUGGCUUCGAGCCUUCCUCCAAAAGAAUUUUGUGCAUACGGAGGAUUGGGCUGAUCCCUUUUAUAUCAGCGAUAGACCAUCCUAAGGUCGUUUUGUACUUCUUGAGCACAAGCAACAGUAUUUCUUCCUGACACUUGGUUAGAGAUGCAGAAAUUAUCACAGGUAAUGUAGAUGAAAUUCCUAAAUAAGCAUACCUCAAGUUAGUAGGCAAAGGUUUGAGCUCAAGGACAGGAGGUUCGAUGAUAGAUCGCUGAGCUUUGGAUGUAGAAGCCUCAUUAUCAUUCAGAGAUUCGAACUGUCGGUGGAAUUUCUUUGAUCUUUGAGGUUCAUCGAGCCACAUGGCAUAUUUCAAAUGCGAAGGAUCUUCUGUAGUAUUAGUCCCAGUUAAUGAAGCUUCCAAGGGGUUUGGAAUGCAUGUUUCUGAGAAUACCCCCUUCCACUGAUUUAUCAAUAGUACUAAUCUGGAAACAAUCCUCAGGGGUAUUAGGAUAUUUCAUGGAUCGGAAGACAUUGAACGUCACUUCCUGAUCGUUAACUCUCAUUGUCAACUCCCCCCUUUAGACAUCAAUGAGGGUCCUCCCUGUUGCCAAGAACGGCCUUCCAAAUAUUAUUCGUAUUUCCCUAUCCUCCUCAAAAUCAAGGACUAUGAAAUCCGCAGGAAAAAUGAACUUGUCGACUUUCACUAGCACAUCCUCUAUAAUUUCGUUCGGGUAUGUCAGAGAUCUGUCAGCUAAUUGAAGGGUGACACUUGUUGGCUUGGCUUCAUUGAGGCCCAUCUUUUUAUAAAUGGAGAGGGGCAUCAAAUUGAUGCUGGCCCCUAAAUCACACAGAGCCUUCCCAAUAAACUGGUCCGUAAUGGUGCACGAGAUUGUAAAACUUCCCGGGUCUUUGAGCUUCGGCGGAAGCUUGUUUUGAAGGAUGACACUACACUCUUCUGUCAGCGCCACCGUCUCAUAGUCCCCCAUUUUUCGUUUCUUGGACAGGAUAUCCUUCAUGAACUUGACAUAACUAGGCAUUCCCUCCAAUGCCUAUGCAAACGGUAUAUUGAUGUGCAGUCUUUUGAACACCUCCAAGAAUUUGGAAAACUGCUUAUCCAGCUUCUGUUUCUGCACCCUCUGUGGAAUGGUAACUGAGGGAGAGGCUGAAUGACCACAGUCGUUGGAGGAGAUGGUGUUGAAGGGUUGUCUUUACCACUUUCCUUACCCCCACUAGUCUCAGCAUUCUCCUUCUCAGAAAAUUCCUAGUCAGACACUAUCUCAACUCCCACAGGAAUACCCUCUCCACCUUGCACAUUAGUGGUUCUCCCACUUCGUAGGGUUACUGCUUUACACUGCUCCUUACCUUCCCAUUUUGGGUUGGCAUCAGUGUCACUUGGCAGUGCUCCUGGCGGUCGACUAUUCAAGGCAGUAGCCAACUGACCCAUAUGUACUUCAAGACUCCUAAUGGAGGCUUCUUGAUUGUUACUUCUGGUUUCGUUCUGGGCUAUAUACCUCGACAGAAGAUCUUCUAAACUAGGCUUCCUUUCCUGUUAUGGUGGAGGAUGGUGAAACUUAUUCUAAUUUCUCUAUGGAUGUGGGUUGAACUAAGUCUGAGGUUGGAAUCCAGGAGGAUUAGCAUAAUUUGGUCUGGUAGUUGGAGGUUGUUGUGGAUUGGGGUGGUUACUAUUGUUGUUGGAAUUGUUGCCCCAUGAGAAGUUGGGAUGGUUUCUUAACCCCGGGUGGUAAUGAGUAGGAAGACUGGCAUUUUGUUGCCUCCCGUUGUUAGAAACAAAUUGAACCGAUUCAGGGCUUAUCUCACACUACUCGGUUGGGUGGCUCCCUUGACAUAACUCACAUUGAACCGCGACACUCUGCACGUUUUGAACCGCUGAAGGUCCUAUGUUGUCUAGCCUUUUUGUUAGCGCUGCUACCUGAGCCGCUAACGAUGUGAAAGAGUCCACUUCAUAAACCCCCGCUGCUCUUCUUGGGGCUUGCCUAUCAUUAGGCCAUUGAUAAUUAUUGGCAGCCAUUGUCUCCACCAGUUCAUAUCCCGCUGCGUGGUGUUUGGCCAUGAAUGCCCCUCCAGAUGCGGCAUCAAUACUCGAACGAGUAGACCCAGACAAACCAUUGUAAAAGGUCUGGAUAGGGAGCCACUCGGGCAGUCCGUGGUGUGGGCAUUUCCUCAGCAGAUCCUUAAAAUGGUCCCACGAGUCGUACAAGGAUUCGGAUUCAAACUGAACAAAGGACGUGAUGUCAUACCUGAGCCUAGCUGUUUUAGCGGGUGGAAAGAAUUUUGCCAUAAAUUUCUGCGCCAAGUCGGUCCAUAUAGUAAUGGAACCAGACGGAAGUGAAUGAAGCCAGCUCUUGGCUUUGUCCCUUAACGUGAAUGGAAACAAAUGGAGUCUGAUGGCUUCGUCAGACACUCCGUUGCAUUUGAAAGUGUCAUAGAUCUCCACAAAAUUUAUCAAGUGAUCAUUGGGAUCAUCAUUCGGCAGUCCCCCAAACUGGAUGUUGGUGCACAUUUGAAUGGUGCCCGGCUUGAUCUCAAAAUUGUUGGCUUUGAUGGCGGGCCUUUGAAUGCUCUCCUGGAGAUCAUCAAUACGAGGCAUAGCAUACUCCUUCAGAGAUUUUUGAAGUUCCUCAGCCAUUAUGAUAGGAGCAGGAAUGUCCUCGAGUGUGUCUUUGUAUUUCUCUCUUCGCAGUCGUCGGAAUGUUCUAUCAACCUCGGGAUCAAAAGGUAUUAUAUUGCGUCCCUUCCGAGGUGGCAUAAACAAUGGAGACUACCAGAAAAGAGAAUUAAACAAAAAAAUCAGUUUAAAGUAAGGAUCGUAUUGACUUAGUUUCAAUAUUGUAAAAAAAUUAAUUCUAAGUCCCCAACAGCGGCGCCAAAAACUUGUUGCUCGAUUUCACAACCGCAAAACACGCGCAAGUAUACGCGGUCUUCACAAGUAAUAUAAGAAAGUAGAGUGUCGAACCCACGAGGACAAAGAUUUAACGGAAACAAAUACUAAGGUAAAGUCGUUACUAAACUUAUCUAAAUGAUUGAAAGUAAAGGUUGGUUAAGCUAUUUUAAUAAGAAAACUAACUAAGAGACGUUGGUUGUGCUAGGAAGGUAAGAUAGGAUUACAAAUCCCCUAAUGCUUCGCCUAAUCUUCUAACUCUCCGCAAUACAAACGAAUCAAGGAAUGGUCGACCUAGAAUAAUAAUAGGCAUAAACUUCUGUCGAAGGUCAAAUGCACAUCCCUAACAAGCUAAAACACCAUAUGUCUAUGGGUGGAACUAACUAGGUUGAGCUCAUUAAGCACAUUCACAAGGUCGCACAAGGCAAAUAAGGAUAUAUCUAUCCUAUUAGCACAUUAAGCCCCACAUUCAAAUGUCAAGGUCAUAACAGGUGUUGCUGCAUUUAAAGACAAACUGUAAUAUCCAUUUAUCAAUUUCCAUUACUAUCACUACCAAUUUCUUUAUCAAGAAAUCAGACAAUAAAAGCAAAAUACAACAACCCAUUCCAAAAUGCUUCAUUUGUCACGAAAAUGCUCUCCCUGAAACCAUCGACUUUGUUUUGUCCGUAUCCGCCAUUGAUGCCACCGUCCCAGUUGGACUUGACUUUGGUGCAUGACAAAAUUGGGCUAGGUGACCUUCUAUUCAAAGGUUACAUUGCAAUCCUAAAAAUGGAGUUAGUUCAUAACUGUGGGACUAACACAAAUUUCUACUGCACUAUCCAUUAUCAGACAAAUACAAUAAAUAGAAUAUUUGAAAUAAGAAAAACCCAUGUAGAAAGAAGUUAUCUUCUGCCAAAUAUUCUCUUCACGCGCACAGUCGGAAAAUGUGGAGAGCAAUUGAUCUUUCCUCCUUCAAGCUUCUUCCUUCUCUCUCUCUAUCUAACUUCUGGUAUGUGUGUUAUAUCUUUUUUUUUGCAGCUGCCGCCUCUCUUGCUUAUAUCAUGUUUUUCCCUUUUUGCUAGGUCAAACAAAGUCCUUGUCUGCCUGGGAACCGGAGGUGGCGCCGCGGCGCAGGCCACCAAGUAUUGAGUGGCGCUCCGGCGCCACAUUAAGAAGUGAGACACAAAGCUCGCGCUGCAGCUCGAGCCAAAGGAGGAUGUGUGGCGCUGCGGCGUGGCUUACGUCAGCAUAGGCCAGGCCAUGGCGCUGCGGCGCGGCCAUUGAGCCUGGAGAUGGCGCCGCGGCGCGAGUAAGAGAAAAAUGACUAUUUUUCCCCUAUAAAGCUGCAAAAACACUGGGAAGCUCUGUAAUGCAACGAUUAAACACAAUAACACUAUAUUUCUAUAAAACUACAUAAAAACUACGAAUUCAGUCAAGUAUUUAAGUCAUAAAGUAUCCGAUUCGCGGGUUUAAAUCCCACUAAUCAGUUACCUAAUUGCGCGCCAAUAGGGAGAAAUCCUUAUUGGAAAGCCCUCUCUUUCCUGGGAAUGACCUGGUUGUUAAAUAUUGCGAAUUAUAAUAAUAAUUAUAAAUGUUGUUAAAAAUAUUGAGAGGAUUUUUAUGAAGUAGUUGUUGUAAAUUUUGCUUAUUAUUUGGAUCCCCAUUUACCCAUUUUUAAAAUAAUCGGUAGAAAGUUGUUUAGGAUAAAUAUAAUGGGACCCACUUAUGAUUAUGAGAUGUUGGUGGGAGGGGAACACGUGGAGCCCACGUGUGGAAGAAAAAAUGAAAGGGAUUUGGAUUUUGAAUUCACGGGUGGGGAGUUUAUUUUCAAUAAACAUGUGUAUAUAUAUAUAUGGGCCGAUUCACAAGUAUUCUCUUUAAAGAGUAAUACUCCCUUAAACAGCAUUCUGUUUUAAAAACCCGUGUUUUUUAUACAUAUCUCUCUCCUCGCUCACCUCACUCCUCCUUACUACUAAAUCGGUUCCCUUGAAAUCCUCUUUACUGCUAAAUCGAUUGAGGGAACGAGACUAAGGGGAACGACAGAUUUCACUGCCCUUGAUUCCCAAAUCUUAUGCAAAUCGAAGAGAGAUCGUGCUCUCACAAGCCCUAGGUCCAGAAAUUCGAAGCAGAGAUCGUGGCCCUUGAAAAUUGAGUUCAGAAAUUCGAAGCAGAGUUUGUGGCCCUUGAAAAUCGGAUUCUUCACAAAUUGGGGAAGCUCUCAGAGUAAUGCCUCACUUUCCUUUUACCUUCUUCUUCAUUCCUGUUUUUUUUUAAUGUAGGUUCUUUUGUUGUUAAUAGAAGGUAAAAGGAUUUGAUAUUUUCAACUUAGUGUGCAUUACCUGAAUACAUGUAUAAUUUGUGAAAAUGUUUGACAACUCUGUUGAUAUUCAUGAAGUAUCAGUGUCCAAGAACUCAGUUGUAUGAUAUACCUGAAUACUCUCUUUCCUCAUAUUACUACUCUGUUUAAAUUCUUCCCAGAAGAUAGUAAAGUAGUUGGCAUAAAGAUUUCCUUUUUUUUUGUUUUGGUAUGUGUCUGUGAAAAGAAUCAAGCUUUAUUUUGUAAGUCUAACUCUGUUUCUAUAAAUUUCUAUUUGUCCGGGUGUAAAUAUAAUGGAUGACAUGCACUUUGUUUCUGUAAAUUUCUAUUUGUCCAAGCUUGUCCUUGCUUGGCUUUCUCUCUUGCAGCAAUCGUAAUGGAAGAGGAACUCGUUCACUUCAUUAGAUUUUGCAGGACUGGAUUUCAAUCGUGAUGGAGGAGGAAGUCGAUUGCUUCAAUCGUGACUGGAUUUUGAGAGUUGAGUGAGGUGAACAAGGAGAGAGAUAUGUUAUAAAAAACACGGGUUUUUAAAACAGAAUGUUGUUUAAGGGAGUAUUACUGUUUAAAGAGAAUUCUUGUGAACCGGCCCGUAUAUAUAUAUAUAUAUAUAUAUAUAUAUAUAUAUAUUAUUAAAUUUUGUUUUAAAUGUUAUUUUUGAAAAAAUGGGCAUCUGAUGUAUGUUUUCUUCCGCUCGUGAUUUUUCAUCUGAUUUCCUACUGUUCAGCCCGUGAGAAAAUUCAAAUACUAUCCUUUCUAUUCUACUAUAAAUAGGAUGCAUAGUUAGAAUUGAAAAUCACACCAAAAUCAGAGAAUUCUUCUUCUAUAAUAUUGAGCGUAUAUUGUGACGCCCCCAAAAUAGGUAUACAUCUCCCAUCUUGAGUCGCCAAAUACAUGGUACAUAAAUUAAAUACAAACUUAAUUAUACAACUCUCGUGCAAAAUACGACGAAACAUAGCUGAGAGUUUAAACAAGAAAAUUGCCUUCGAGACAAUAUCCCCUCUCAAAUAGAUUCCCCAUUACAUUUAUUGUCACACUAUUUUAUAGAAUAGUGAGGACUACUAAAACAACCAUCUGGACCGUCAACCUGUUCCCUGACUCGUCCCGGCAAUAUUCUCAUUUCCUGAAGAGAACUGUGAAAGAAAGGGUGAGCUCAACUAGCCCAGUAAGAAAUAUUAUGACUAAGAUAAUGCAGAAUAAAUUAUCCUUAGCCUUCAACAGUAUAACAACUGAUAUAAUAUAAUAUACAACAAGUUUUAGAUCAAUAACUGCAGAGGAAUAAGCAAUCCAUUAGAAGAGUCAAGUAGAGCAUAAAAUCUACUAUCUUCUAUGAUUUAAAAAGUUUUUCAUUAACUUUAUCGCUGAGACUCAGCUUAAUAAAUAAAAUUGAAUCAUCCCUCCACCACGGCCGGGGAUAUUCAUGAAAUCAUCAAUGGUCAUGAUUAUACCGAAUAAUCCAUGGUAAUAAUCAUACCAACAACUGUCCAUUAAUGAACUACAGGCCAAUGAGGACUUUUACCACAUCAUUCGUUACAUUACGAUCAUGAUUAUACCGAAUAAUCCCUGGUCAUAAUCAUACCAAAUCCAUCUAUGCACGUAAGCCAAAGAUGACUUUCAUCACAAUAUAAGCAUGAGGAUGAUAACAAUAACAUAAUAAUUCAAUAAAACAAGUUCAAGGAUAAAUUUUAGAGAUUUAUAAUUUAAUUUAUCCCGAAAUCAAUAACGUCCAAAUUAUCAACAUGAUACUGCUUUGUAGAGUAAAAUUCAAGAAUAAUAUUCAUGUACCAAAACUAAUUUGCACAGAAAAGAAAUAUAUUUUUCUGGUGAAUAGUACCCCGUGAAUAGUACUUCAGGAAUAACCCCGUGAAUAGUACCCCGACAAGAAAAGUGUCCCAAAUACCCGAGUGAAUGAUACUAGAGUGAAUAGUAAUUAGGUGAAUAGUAACCUGUGAAUAGUACUCCAGCACAAAAAGUGCCCCGAAUACCCGAGUGAAUAAUACUAGAGUGAAUAGUAACCGAGUGAAUAGUAACCCAUGGAUAGUAACUCGUAAAAGAAAAAUACCAACGAAAAUGAUAUUCCAUGACGAGUACAAAAGAAAUGAUAUCUCAUACAAGUAUAAUAAAAUAUACGAAACUGCAAAUGGAUUUUCACCCGCCAUGCGUUAUUCCACGUAGACAGAUCAUUUCCAUAAUUUAAUAAGGAAUGAAUACGAAGGAUCAUUCACCAUGCUUGCGGUAGUCCACACAGACAAGUUAUUCUAACAGAAUAAUAAAGAAUGGAACCAGGUCAUGCAUAAUCCGCGCAGACAUGAUAUUCCAACAGAAUAAUAAAUAAUGGAAUAACAACCCUUACAAGUAUUGAAAGAAAAUAACUCUCUUCAUGAAUACGAAAGAAUAAUACCCCUUACCUUAGAAGAAACUGGAUACUGGAAUAGUGAGGUAACAAACUUCUCUUCUUCUUUCUCUCUAUAAUUUCUCUUUAUAAUAAUUGUUCUAUAGCUUUAGUGAAUUGAUGAGAAAUGAAGGAAGAAUGAGCUUCUAUUUAUAGAAAAAUAUAGUUUCGAUAAUUUCACGUUUUGGGGCUCGAAAUAUUACAGUAUAAUACCUUCCUCUUUUUUUUCAUUUUUAAUUUAGUCCUGCAAGUAUUAUCAAACUUUCACCACCUCCCCUAAUAGUAAAUCAUGUGAAUCAAUAGUAAAUCAUGUGACUCAAUAGUUCUAAUCAUGUGAAAAAAACAAUUACAGUAUAGUACCAUCAUCUAUACCUCCAUUUUUAAUUUAGUCAUGUAAGUAUUAUCAAUCUUGCACCAACUCCCCUAAUAGUAAAUCAUGUGAAUCAAUAAUACACACAUGUGAACACAUAGCUAUAAGCAUGUGAAUUAUUAGCAAUUAAUUACUCAUUUAUCCGGUUAAUUACCCGAUUGGUGAAUAUAAUCUCUAGACAUCAAUUAUUAUCAAAAUAAAUGUCAAUUUCCACUAACACUAAUAAUUCCCACACAAUGGAAUUAUCAAUUUCAUCUUUAAUCAACUCGAACUUAUUGAUCAUUAAUAUUAUAACUCACAAUAUUUAACAACCAGGUCGUUCCCAGGAAAGAGGGGGCUUUCCGAUAAGGAUUUCUCCUUAUUGGCGCGCAAUUAGGUGACCAAACCUCUCCUUGACAGAACUUUUAGACAUUGUCAAUAUUGCAAAUAAUAAUAUGAAUGACUUUGUCAUCUCAAUUAUUGAUUUAAUAAUAUAACAUAUUAUACAGAUGAUACUGUGAUAAUAAUUGAAUCAAUAAUAUGAGAGAUAUGAUGCAGCAAUUACUGUAGCAAUAAUUGAGUAUGACUGAGUGACUUCUUACUUAAGCAUCAAUAAUCAAAACCGUGUGCUACUAUGCAACCAUGCGUAUUACUGUACUAUUACUACCGGGUAGUUCAACAGUUUUAACGGUAACACUUUCGCCGUUAUUUUUAUAAAAAGAUAAUUCUAUCAUUUUCUAACUACGACAAUACUUCCGUUGUGGGGUCCACCAAUGAUUGUGCCGUCGUACGAAUAUUCCCCGACAAAAAGAAUAUUCCCCGACCAAACGAAUAUUUUAUAACAAAAAUUUUCACAUAUCACCCUUAACUUUAACCUUUUAUCAAUUUAACCAUUUACGAAAUAAAAUAAUAAUUAUAAGAAAAUUGAAUACUUUCAUUUCAUAAAUUUUGGGGUCUUACAAUCUCCCCUCCUUAUGAAAUUUCUCUCUCAAAAUUUAAGUACGUACCUGGUAUGCCGAAGAGGUGAGGAUACCUUGCUUAGAUUCUAACUCUUGAGGUAUAACCUUUGAGUGUAGAAUAUGAUCCUUCUUAUCCAAGACUUUAACACGUAUAUCAUCAUAUGUUAAAUCUUUUGCUAUCUCGUCUAGUUCUAAUUCAAUAAUGUGGUCCGGGUCAUCCAUAUAAUUACGUAACAUUGAUACGUGAAAAACGUUAUGAACACGCGACAUACUUGGCGGUAAAACGAGUCUAUAGGCCACAGUUCAUACUCGAUCGAGGAUUUCAAAUGGGCCAAUUGAAUCGAGGGUUGAGAUUUUCUCUCUUCACCGAUUCUUGCUUCUAGAAUAACGUCGUCUUGAACCUUCUUCUUCACAUUCAUCAGCUUUGAGUAUGUAGCUUUCACGGCUUUAACUUUAUCGAUUAAAGUCGAUUCUACUCGUAUAUUCGUUAUCUUCACGUGGGUCCCUAGAGUCCUUAACUAUAUCUUCAUCAUUUGUAAGUUAUACGAAAUAGGUUUUUGUGUUAACAACAUCGUACUCGUAAAUUCAUAUGAUCUUCUACUCAACGCGUUAGCUACCACGUUCGUUCUUCCACGAUGAUAUUGAAUUGUAUAGUCGUAAUCUUCAACAACUCGAGCCAAUGUCCUUGGCGCAUGUUAUGUUCGUUCUAGGUGAAGAAAUAUUUGACGGUUUUAGAAAUGGGUUUUUGUACUGGGCUCAAUACAAAAUUUGAUUUCACGCUCUGGGUAUCGGCCAGGAAGUCUUUAGAGAAUACGUCAGCAAAUUUAUUAACAAUAAAAAUAUCUUUCAAAACUGUGACUCUCAUCCAAGACUUGGAUAGCACAUGUAAUGAAGGUUUCUCCUAACAGAGUUUUAACCGAUAAGUCAAAGUCUAAUUUCUCCGGAGUCAAAUUUAAACGUUGAGCGCAAGUAAGAGAGAUAAAAAGGGGUAGAACCGGUAUCUAAUAAGGUAUAGACUUCGCAAGAAUUUAUAAUUAACUAACAUGUGCUAACUUCGUUCGGGUUACUCGCUUUUUGAGAAGUCACAAAAAUGCUCUCCCUGAAACCAUCGACUUUGUUUUGUCCGUAUCCGCCUUUGGUGCCACCGUUCCAGCUGGACUUAAAUUUGGUGCAUGACAAAAUCGGGCUAGGUGACCUUCUUUUCCAUAAUUGUAACAUGUUUUGGACUGUAUCACGCAGUUUGGACUGAUAUGUCCCUCCCCUCCGCAUUUGUAACAUACGAUCGGCGGUCGUUCUCCUUCUUUGAAAAUGGGUGUUGGUGCUGCUGUCUUUCCAUUGUUGUUGAACCUUUUCUUCUUGAAAUUUCCACUCCUAUUAUCUUGACCAUGAUUACCACCGAAGUGGUUACCAUUCUUGGCAUGAUAGUUUCCCCCACGAUGGUUAUCAUUGUUCCGAUGGCCGUUGCCACCGGUAUGAUUAUUAUCGUGUUGUUGGUCAUUGCCUUUUGGUUGUGAUGACUCAUUAUCGCGCUCUAAUAACUGAGUCAUAUUCACAACAUCUAAAUAUAAUAAAGUUUGUGAGAAAUGAGGUAUUGAUGUAUAUCGGGUUUCAAACCUCUUAGAAACAUUCGCGUCAUUCGCUCAUCAUUAUCGACCAAAUGGGAUGCAAACCGGGAUAACUCCGCAAAUUUAGCCUCGUAUUGCGACACGGUCAUAUUGUUUUGCUCUAACUUGAUAAACUCCACCUCCUUCAUGUGACGAAUACUUUCGGGAAAGUACUUGUCAUUGAAAAACUCUUGGAACUUCUCCCAAGACAUAUUGAGUGCGUCAGGCUGGGUACGUUUUACAGAUUCCCACCAGUAAUCUUCCUCUUCACUCAACAUAAAGGUGGUGAAGGGAACCUUUUGCUCCUCGGAGCAUCCCAAGAUAUCAAAUAUCUUGGUGAUCUGCUUUAACCACGUCUCUGCCUUAAGUGGUUCUGGCUUUCCCAAAAACUCCGACGGUCCCAGCUCCUUGAACUGCUUAGCAGUGACCAGCCGUGGGUUGCCAUUGUUUCCACCUGCAUUUUGAACAGGAGUCUCUCUCGCCUGAUGUUUCAUGAAUUGCAUAAAGCCUCUGAACAUCCCAUCGUUCAUCAUUUCAUCAGUAUUAUUGUUUACCUGAGGAUUAUUAUCUUCCUAUUGCACCUUAUCCUGGGUAUUGAUCGUUGGUGACUCAACGGUCUCAUGUGCUUCAUUGCUGAUCUCAACAUUUUCAUAUGCCAUUUUCAAACACUAUCACAAAACAAGGGUUAAUUAACAUAUCACAUAUUAUCCCUAUACUCCGACCGACAAAUUAAAUACCAAAUAAACUUAGGUAGGUCAUACUAGCGAAGGAAUUCCCUGUCUCUCCCCUCCUAGUUCUUGUCUCACAUCUGAGCCAGGGAUCGUAUCCCUAAGCUUUGAUACCAACUGUGAUGCCCCCAAAAUAGGUAUACAUCACCCAUCUUGAGUCGCCAAAUACAUGGUACAUAAAUCAAAUACAAACUUAAUUAUACAACUGUCAUGCAAAAUACGACAAAACAUAGCUGAGAGUUUAAACAAGAAUAUUGCCUUCUAGACAAUAUCCCCUCUCAAAUAGAGUCCUCAUUACAUUUAUUGUCACACUAUUUUAUAGAAUAGUGAGGACUACUAAAACAACCAUUUUGACUGUCAAUCUGUUCCCCGACUUGUCCCAGCUAUAUUCUCAUUUCCUGAAGAGAAUAGUGAAAGAAAGGGUGAUCUCAACUAGCCUAGUAAGAAAUAUUAUGACUAAGAUAAUGCAGAAUAAAUUAUCCUUAACCUUCAACAGUAUAACAACUGAUAUAAUAUAAUAGACAACAAGUUUUAGAUCAACAACAGCAGCAGAAUAAGCAAUCCAUUAGAAGAGUCAAGUAGAGCAUAAAAUCUACUAUCUUCUAUGAUUUAAAAAGUUUUUCAUCAACUUUAUCGCUAAGACUCAGCUUAAUAAAUAAAAUCGAAUCAUCCCUGCACCACGGCCAAGGAUAUUCAUGAAAUCAUCAAUGGUCAUGAUUAUACCGAAUAAUCCAUAGUCCUAACCAUACCAAUAACUGUCCAUCAAUGAACUACAGGCGAAUGAGGACUUUUACCACAUCAUUCGUUACAUUACGGUCAUGAUUAUACUGAAUAAUCCCUGGUCAUAAUCAUACCAAGUCCAUCUAUGCAUGUAAGCCAAAGAUGACUUUCAUCACAAUAUAACCAUGAGGAUGAUGACAAUGACAUAAUAAUUCAAUAAAACAAGUUUAAGGAUAAAUUUUAAAGAUUUAUAAUUUAAUUUAUCCAGAAAUCAAUAACGUCCAAAUUGCCAACAUGAUACUGCUUUGUAGAGUAAAAUUCAAGAAUAAUAUUCAUGUACCAAAAAUAAUUUGGACAGAAAAGAAAUAUAUUUUUCGAGUGAAUAGUACCCCAUGAAUAGUACCCCGUGAAUAGUACCUCAUGAAUAGUACCCCUACACGAAAAGUGUCCUGAAUACCCGAGUGAAUGAUACUAGAGUGAAUAGUAAUUGGGUGAAUAGUAACUCGUGAAUAGUAACUCGUGAUUAGUACUCCGGUACGAAAAGUGCCCCGAAUACCUGAGUGAAUAAUACUAGAGUGAAUAGUAACCCAUGAAUAGUUACUCAUAAAAUAAAAAUAUCAACAAAAAUGAUAUUCCAUGACGAGUACAAAAAAAAUGAUAUCUCAUACGAGUAUAAUAGAAUAUACGAAACUGUAAAUGGAUUUUCACCCGCCAUGCGGUAUUCCACGUAGAUAGAUCAUUCCCAUAAUUUAAUAAGGAAUGAAUAUGAAGGAUCAUUCACCAUACAAGCGGUAGUCCACACAGACAGGUUAUUCCAACAGAAUAAUAAUGAAUGGAACCAGGUCAUGCGUAAUCCGCAUAGACAGGAUAUUCUGACAAAAUAGUAAAGAAUGGAUCCAGGUCAUGCGUAAUCCGCACGGAUAGGAUAUUCCAACAGAAUAAUAAAGAAUGGAAUAACAACCCUUACGAGUAUUGAAAUAAAAUAACUCUCUUCGUGAAUACGAAAGAAUAAUACCCCUUACCUUAGAAGAAACUGGAUACUGGAAUAGUGAGGUAGCAGACUUCUCUUCUUCUUUCUCUCUAUAAUUUCUCUCUAUAAUAAUUGCUCUAUAGCUUUAGUGAAUUGGUGAGAAAUGAAGGAAGAAUGAGCUUCUAUUUAUAGGAAAAUAUAGUUUCAAUAAUUGCACGUUUUGGGGCUCAAAAUAUUACAGUAUAAUAGAUUCCUCUUUUUCUUCAUUUUUAAUUUAGUCCUGCAAGUAUUAUCAAACAUGCACCACCUCCCCUAAUAGUAAAUCAUGUGAAUCAAUAGUAAAUCAUAUGACUCAAUAGUUCUAAUCAUGUGAAAAAAACAAUUACAGUAUAGUACCAUCAUCUAUACCUCCAUUUUUAAUUUAGUCAUGUAAGUAUUAUCAAUCUUGCACCAACUCCCCUAAUAGUAAAUCAUGUGAACACAUAGUUAUAAGCAUGUGAAUUAAUAGCAAUUAAUUGCUCAUUUAUCCGGUUAAUUACCCGAUUGAUCAAUAUAACCUCCAAACAUAAUUAUUAUCGAAAUAAAUGUCAAUUUCCACUAACACUAAUAAUUCCCACACAAUGGAAUUAUCAAUUUCAUCUUUAAUCAAAAUGAACUUAUUCAUCAUUAAUAUUAUUACUCACAAUAUUUAACAACCAAGUCAUUCCCAGGAAAGAGGGGGCUUUCCGAUAAGGAUUUCUCCUUAUUGGCGCGCAAUUAGGUGACCAAACCUCUCCUUGACAGAACUUCAAGGCAUUGUCAAUAUUGUAAAUAAUAAUAUGAAUAACUUUGUCAUUUCAAUUAUUGAUUUAAUAAUAUAACAUAUUAUACAGAUUAUAUUGUGGCAAUAAUUGAAUUAAUAAUAUGAGAGAUAUGAUGCAGCAAUUACUGUAGCAAUAAUUGAGUAUAACUAAGUGACUUCUUACGUAAGCAUCAAUAAUCAAUAUUGUGUGCUACUAUGAAACCACGUAUAUUACUGUACUUUUACUACUGGGUAGUUCACCAGUUUUAACGGUAACACUUUCGCCGUUAUUUUUAUAAAAAGAUAAUUAUGUCGUUUUCUAACUACGACAAUACUUUCGUUGUGGGGUCCACCAAUGAUUGUGCCAUCGUACGAAUAUUCCCCGACAAAAAGAAUAUUCUCCGACCAAACGAAUAUUUUAUAACAACUUGCUUACUUUGCAAAAAAUUUCACCCGUUUUAACGGUACUUUAACCUUUUAUCAAUUUAACCAUUUACGAAAUAAAAUAAUAAUUAUAAGAAAAUUGAAUACUUUCAUUUCAUAAAUUUUGGGGUCUUACAUAUUUAUUUCGAGUUUUAGAAAGUAUUGAGUGUAGAAAAUAGUGAAAGUUUUCUUAAAGAAUAUAUCCGCUAUACCAGUUGGAAUAUUCUUCUUUUUGAGGUAAGGGGUAUUAUUUCUUUCGUAUUCAUGAAGAGAAUUAUUUUCUUUCAAUUCUCGUAAGGGGUAUUAUUUAUUUCAUAUUCUGAAGAGAUAUUAAUUUUCGUAUUCGUAUGAAUAAUAUUUCAUUCAAUAUUCGCAAGAAAUAUUAUAUUCGUUUAAUAUUCGUAAUGAAUAUUCUUUUCGUUUAAUAUUCGUAAGGGAUGUUAUUUUUGUUCAAUUCGCUUGAAAUAAUAUUUUCUUCCAUACUCUGUAGUUUGUAAGUAAUAUUAUUGCGUUUCAGAUUUUGAAUUCUAUACUCAUUUGGUUAAAGUUUUGACUUCUAUACUUCAUGAAAUUAGUAGAAUAUCCUUAAAAUUUGCAUUUCAUCCAGUAUCUUUUCAUGGAAAUAUUAUUCUGAGCAUUCUUGAUAAGUUUUAAUUUUUUCAUGCCAGAGUACUAUUCAUAGAUUACUAUUCACGAAGUACUAUUCACGGAGUACUAUUCACUCGAGUACUAUUCACCCAGGGUACUAUUCAUGAUACAAAUUGAUUCAUUUUCGGUCCAAAUCAUUUUUUGUACAAUAUUAUUCUUGAAUUUUACUCCACAAAGCAGUAUCAUGUUGACAAUUUGGACGUUAUUAAUUUCUGGAUAAAUUAAAUUAUAAAUCUUUAAAAAUUUACCUUUGAACUUGUUUUAUUAAAUUCUUAUGUCAUUGUCAUCAUCCUCAUGCUUAUAUUGUUAUGAAAGUCAUCUUUGGCCCGUAGUGCAUAGAUGGACUUGGUAUGAUUAUGACCAGGGAUUAUUCGGUAUAAUCAUGAUGGUAAUGUUACAAAUGAUGUGGUAAAAAUCUUUAUUGGCCCGUAGUGCAUUGAUGGACAGUUUUUGGUAUGAUUAUGGCCAUGGAUUCUCUUCGGCCAAGGGUGAAAAGAUGAAUUAUUUUAUGGCAUGAUCAUGAUCGUUGAUGAAAACACAAUUAUCUUUGGCCCAUAGUGCAUGGAUAAUUCGUGGUCGUGAUACUAAAGAAUAUCUUUGGCCCGUAGUGCAGGGAUGAUUCGAUGAUGUGGAUUAUUUAUUAAGCCGAGUCUCAGCGAUAAAUUUGAUGAAAAACUUUUUAAAUCAUAGAAGAUGGUAGAUAUUAUGCUCUACUUGACUCUUCUAAUGGAUUUCUUAUUCCGCUGCAGUUGUUGAUCUAAAACUUGUUGUCUAUUGUAUUCUAUUAGUUGUUAUACUGUUUAUUCUACAUUAUCUUAGUCAUAAUAUUUUUUACUGGGCUAGUUGAGCUCACCAUUUCCUUUCAAUGUUCUCUUCAGGAAAUGAGAAUAUAGCUGGGACUAGUCGGGGAAUGAAAUGACGGUCCAAAUGGUUGCAUUAGUAGUCCUCAAUAUUCUGUGAAAUAGUGUGAUAAUAAAUGUAUUGAGGACUUAUUUUGAGUUUGAAUACUGUCUAGAAGACAAUAUUUGUAUUAAAACUCACAGCUCAUAUUGUAUAUUUAAGUUUGUAUUUAAGUUGUGUACCAUGUAUUUGGCGACUCAAGAUGGGUGAUGUAUACAUGUUUUGGGGGCGUCACAGUUGGUAUAAAAGCUUAGGGAUAUGAUCACUGGCUAAGAUGUGAGACAAGAACUAGGAGGGGAGAGACGGGGAAUUCCUUCACUAGUAUGACCUACCUAAGUUUAAUUUGUAUUUAAUUAGUCGGUCAGAGUAUAUGGAUAAUAUGUGGUAUGUCAAUUAACCCUUGUUUUAUGGCAGUGUUAGAAAAUGACAUUCGAGAAUGUUGAGAAUAGCAAUGACGCACAUGAGACCGUUGAGUCACCAACGAUCAAUAUCCAGGAUAAUGUGCAUCAGGAAGGCAAUAAUCCUCGUGUAAACAACAACACAGAUCAAAUGACGAACGAUAGUACGUUUAGGAGUUUUUUAGAAUUCAUGCAAACGAGAGAGACUCCUGUUCAUAAUGCAGGUGUAAACAAUUGCAACCCACGGUUGGUCACCGCUAAGCAGUUCAAGGAGCUGGGACCACCAGAGUUUUUUGGAAAGCCAGAACCACUUAAGGCAGAGACGUGGAUAAAGAAAAUCACCAAGAUAUUUGAUGUCUUGGAAUGCUCAGAAGAAAAAAAGGUUCCAUUCACCACCUUUAUGUUGCGUGAAGAAGUAGAUCAUUGGUGGGAAUCUGUAAAACGUACCCAGCCUGACGCACUCAAGAUGUCUUGGGAGAAGUUCAAAGAACUGUUCAACGAUAAGUACCUUUCCGAAAGUAUUCAUCACAUAAAGGAGGUAGAGUUUAUCAAGCUGGAGCAAAACAAUAUGACCAUGUCGCAGUACGAGGCUAAGUUUGCCGAGUUAUCCGAAUUUGCAUCCCAUUUGGUUGAUAAUGAGGAGCGAAUGACAUGAAUGUUUGUACGAGGUUUGAAACCCGAUAUACGGCAAUACCUUAUUUCUCACAAACUUUAUUUAUAUUCAGAUGUUCUGAAUAUGGCUCAAUUAGUGGAGCGCGAUAAUGAGUCAGUUCAACCAAAAGGUAACGACCAACAACAUGAUAAUAAUCAUACAGGUGGAAACGACCAUCGGAACAAUGAUAACCAUCGUGGGGGAAAUUAUCAUGCCAAGAAUGGUAACCACUUCGAUGGUAAUCAUGGCCAAGAUAAUAGAAGUGGAAAUUUCAAGAAGAGAAGGUUGAAUAAUGAUGGAAAGACAGCAGCAUCAGCACUCAUUGUUAAGGAAGAAGAACGACCACCGGUCAUAUGUUUCAGAUGCGGACAAGAGGGACACAUCCAUCCAAACUGUACGCAGCAACCCAAAGCAUGUUUCAGUUGUGGAAGAGAAGGUCACCUAGCUCGAUUUUGUCGUGUAGUGAAGUCAAGUCCAGCUGGGAUAGUGAUGCCAAAGGAUGUUCCAGACAAGUCAAAGUCGAUAGUUUAAGUGAGAGCGUUUGUCGAGGAACCCGAACGAGGUUAUUACGGGUAAGCUUAUCAUAAACUCUAGCGAAGUAUAUACCUUAUUUGAUACCGGUUCUACCCAUUCUUUUAUUUCUCCUACUUGCGCUCAACGUUUAAAUUUGACUCCUGAGAAAUUAGACUUUGACUUAUCUGUUGAAACUCUGUUAGGAGAAACCUUCGUUACCUCCACUAUUUAUAAGUCUUGUUUGAUUCAAAUUGACACUUUCACGUUACCUGUCAAUCUUAUCUCUUUGAAAAUACUUGCCUUUGAUGUGAAUUUAGAAAUCGACUGGUUAACUAUUUUUUAUGUUAAAAUUGAUUAUUUUCGUAAGGUUGUUAGUUUUCAUAUUCCUAACCAACCUAUUAUGCGAAUUCAAGAAACCAAACCACUAAAGUUAAUCACUGUCAUACCAAGCCAUAAGUAUAGAGCCCCGAGCCUUUCGCUGGUUACUUCCUUGUGUGGAAUGCACCGAAGCCAGACUUUCCAUUGGCAACGCCAUGAGUAACGGUGACAAGUUGAUAGGUAUCAAUGUGACAUGCUAUCCAAGUCUUGGAUGAGAGUCACAAUUUUGAUUGAUAUUUCUACUGUUAAUAAAUUUGCUGACAUAUUCCUGAAGACUUCCUGGCCUACCCAAGAGCGUGAAAUCGAAUUUUGUAUUGACCCCAGUACAAAAUCCAUUUCUAAAACCCUCAAAUAUUUCUUCAACUAAAAUGAACGUAACAUGUGCCAAAGAUGUUGGCUCGAGCUGUUGAAGAUUACGAUCGUAUCAUUCAGUACCAUCUUGGAAAAGUGAACGUGGUAGCUAACACGUUGAGUAGAAGAUCGUAUGCGUUUACGAGUGCGAUGUUGUUAACACAAAGACCCAUUUCGUAUAACUUACAAAUGAUAAAGAUAGAGUUAAAGACUCUAGGGACUCACGUGAUGAUGGCAAAUAUACGAGUAGAACCUACUUUAAUCGAAAAAGUUGAAGUUGCUCAAGCUACGCACCCGGAGCUAAUGAAUACAAAAAAGAAGGUUCAAGAGGGCAUUAUUCUAGAAGCAAGAGUCGAUGAAGAGAGAAAAUUUCAACCCUCGAUUUAAUUGGCCCAUUUGAAAUCCUCGGUCAAGUAGGAACUGUGGCCUAUAUACUCACUUUACCGCAAAGUAUGUCGCGUUUUCAUAACGUUUUUCACGUAUCGAUGUUACAUAAAUAUAUGGAUGACCCGAACCACAUUAUUGAUUUAGAACCGGACGAGAUAGCGGAAGACUUAACGUAUGAAGAUGUACAUGUUAAAAUCUUAGAUAAAAAGGAAUAUAUUCUAUGCUCAAAGGUUAUACCUCAAGAGUUAGAAUUUGAUGAAGUGUCCUCAUCUGUUCGAUAUACCAAGUACGUACAUAAAUUUCGAGGGCGAAAUUUCAUAAGGAGGGGAGAUUGUGAGACCCCAAAUUUUAUGAAUAAAGAUUUAAUUUUCUCAAAAUAUUUUUUUUUAUAUUAAGGUGUGGAUUUGAGAUAAUGUUAUAGUUGUGGGUAAUAUUUAUAAAUUUUGCAAAGUAUGCAAGUUGUUAUAUUUUAUUCGAUUGUUCUGGGACUAUUCGUUUUAAAAGGGAAUAUUCGUACGACGACACAAUCAUUGGUGGACCCCACAACGGAAGUAUUGUCGGAAUGAGAAAAUGACACAAUCAUUGGUGGACCCCUGAUUGUACAUGCAUGUGAAUCAAUAGUACAUACAUUUGAACACAUAGUUAUAAGCAUGUGAAUUAAUAGCAAUUAAUUUCUCAUUUAUCUGAUUAAUUACCCGAUUGGUAAAUAUAACCUCUAGACAUCAAUUAUUAUCGGAAUAGAUGUCGAUUUCCACUAAUACUAAUAAUCGCAACACAAUGGAAAUAUCAAUUUCAUCUUUAAUCAACACGAACUUAUUCAUUAUUAAUAUUAUAACUCACUAUAUUUAACAACCAGAUCAUUCCCAGGAAAGAGGGGGCUUUCCGAUAAAGAUUUUUCUCUAUUGGCGCGUAAUUAGGUGACCAAACCUCUCCUCGAAAGAACUUUUUAGACAUUGUUAAUUAUGCAUAUAAUAAUAUGAAUAACUCGUUAUCUCAAUUAUUUAUUUAAUAAUAUAAAAUAUUGACAAUAAUUGAAUCAAAUAACGUGAAAUACUAUGCAGCAAUUACUGUAGCAAUAAUUGAAUAAAACUGAGUGAUUUCUCACAUAAGCAUCAAUAAUCAAAGAUAAUGUAUAAUACCGUGUGCUACUAUGCAACCACGCGUAUUACUAUACUUUUAUCACCGAUUAUUUUAUGACAACUUGUUUACUUUGAAAAAUUUUCACAUAUCACCCUUAACUUUAACCUUUUGUCAAUUUAAACAUUUACUAAAUAGAAUAAUUAUAAGAAAAUUGAAUACUUUCAUUUCAUAAAAUUCGGGUCUCACAAUCUCCCCUCCUUAUGAAAUUUCGCCCUCGAAAUUUACGUACCUGUUAGUUCGAAGAGAUGAGAAUACCUUGCUUUCUUUUCGAAUUGUACCUUCCCGGUUAUUUUCUCUCUAUCAUGAUUUUCCUAUUGCUCAUCUCCUGUAUUUCAGAUAUCAUUCAGAAUAUAUCUUUAAAACAAAGGUUAAUUGACAUAUCAAAAUUUGUCACUUAUCAAGUAACAAUUUUAGCUUAGGUAAGUUGUAAGAUCCCAACUUUUAUGAAUAAAGAUGAAUUUUCUAGAAAUAUCAUUUUUGAAUAUUAUGGAGUGAAUUUUAUAUAAUGUUAAAGUUGUGGGUAAUAUUUAUAAAUUUUGCAAAGUACGCAUAUUGUUAUAUAAUAUUCAAUUGGUCGGAGAAUAUUCGUUUUAACAGGAAAUAUUCAUAAGAUGAACAAUCAUUGGUGGACCCCACAACGAAAUUAUUGUCGGAUUGAGAAAACGAUAAAAAUAUCUUUUUAUGAAAAUAACGGCGGAAGUUUUACCGUUAACUGUUGAAAUACCUUGUGUUAAGAGUACAAUAAUACGCGUGGUGGCAUAGUAGCACACGGUAUUGAUUAUUGAUGUUUACGUGAGAAGUCACUCAGUUUUGUUCAAUUAUUGCUACAGUAAUUGCUGCAUAUUAUCUCACAUUAUUUAAUUCAAUUAUUGUCGAUAUUUUAUCUAUUAUUAAAUCAAUAAUUGAGAUGAUACAGUUAUUCAUAUUAUUAUUUGCAAUAUUGACGAUGUCUAGAAAGUUCUAUCGAGGAGAGAUUUGAUCACCUAAUUGCGCGCCAAUAGGGAGAAAUCCUUAUUGGAAAGCCCCUUCUUUCCUGGGAACGACCUGAUUUUUAAAUAUUGAGAAUUAUAAUAAUGAUGAUAAAUGUUGUUUAAAAUAUUGAGAGAAUUUUUAUGAAGUAUUGGAUGUAAAUUUAGCUCAUUUUAUUUACCUCCAUUUACCCAUUUUUCAAAAUAAUCGAUAGAAAAUUAUUUAUUAUAUUAAGGUGGGGGCCACAUGUGGGGCCCACGUUUGAAAAAUGAAAUGAAAGGUGGAGGGAAUGUUUUUGGCUGGCACGGGAUGGAGUACUAUAUAUAUAUAUAUUAUGUUUGAAAGUUUGCAGGGAGGGAGUACAAUUAUUAUUAUUAUUAUAUAUAUAUAUAUAUAUAUAUGUAAUAGUUUUAAAGUUUGGCAGGAAGAGUUCACGGGGUUCAUAACCCGUGACUAAUGUUAUAUAUAUAUAUAUAUAUAUAUUAUGUUUUAUAUAAAAGUUUCAUUUUAUUAGAAUAUUUUAUUGCAUAGUAUCCUUUCCAUUCUCCUAUAAAUAGGAUUAUUAUUUCGUUUUAGAUUUCAAAUUCUAUACUCAUUUUGUUGAAGUUUUGACUUCUAUACUCCAUGAAAUUAGUAGAAUAUCCUUGAUAUUUGCGCUUCAUCCAGUAUCUUUUCAUGAAAAUAUUAUUCUGAGCAUUCUUGAUAAGUUUUAACUUUUUCAUGUCGGGGUACUAUUCACGGGGUUACUAUUCCUAAAGUUACUAUUCACGGGUACUAUUCACUCAGUUACUAUUCACCCUGGGUACUAUUCAUGAUAAAAAUUGAUUUCUUUUCGGUCCAAAUCAUUUUUGAUAUAAUAUUAUUCUUGAAUUUUACUCCACAAAGCAGUAUCAUGUUGACAAUUUGGACGUUAUUGAUUUCUGGAUAAAUUAAAUUAUAAAUCUUUAAAAUUUAUCCUUGAACUUGUUUUAUUGAAUUAUUAUGUCACUGUCAUCAUCCUUAUGAUUAUAUUCUUAUGAAAGUCAUCUUUUGUCGUAGUGUAUAUAUGGACUUGGUAUGAUUAUGACCAAGGAUUAUUCGGUAUAAUCAUGACCGUAAUGUUACAAAACGUGUGGUAAAAGUCCUCAUUGGCUUGUAGUGAAUUGAUGGACAGUUGUUGGCAUGAUCAUGACCAUUGAUGAAAACACGAGUAUCCUUGGCACGUAGUGCAUGGAUAAUUUAUGGUCGUGAUACUAAUGAAUAUCCUUGGCCAUAGUGCAGGGAUGAUGUGGAUAAAAGUGAUGAAAAAACCUUUUAAAUCAUAGAAGAUAGUAGAUUUUAUUCU
rnacentral:lncRNA from 1 species